UACGUAGGGUGCAAGCGUUGUCCGGAAUUAUUGGGCGUAAAGAGCUCGUAGGUGGCCUGUCGCGUCGGCUGUGAAAACUCGGGGCUCAACUCCGAGCUUGCAGUCGAUACGGGCAGGCUAGAGUUCGGCAGGGGAGACUGGAAUUCCUGGUGUAGCGGUGAAAUGCGCAGAUAUCAGGAGGAACACCGGUGGCGAAGGCGGCUUCUUGGGCCCUACCUGACGCUGAGGCGCGAAAGCCAGGGGAGCGAACGGG
rnacentral:rRNA from 1 species